rnacentral:lncRNA from 1 species
CGAUACUUAUUUCCGGUCCGGUCUCAUCUGGAGACAUGCAGCUGCCUCAGUAAGAGAAGUAGCUCGAUCACGUAAUGUGUACUGUUGUUUAUUCUACCGUUACUGGCACGGCUAACAGUGUAGCAAGGCUAAUAGCAGAUGGCUAACGUAAACUUUAGCUUGCAUAUUACAUGGUGCUUCACCGUUAACUCGGCGUGACCGAGACCAGCACAGCGGGGAACAUCGUGAAGUGGGUUGAACUGAAACUUGUUGACUUAUUGUGUAUUUCACAAACUGGUUUAUUUACCGUUGAGGCUGACCACUCUCCUCUGUGUGUCCCUGAGCUGCCUGCUUCAGAUCCGUCACUUCACUGUGCUGUGAGGUAGUUAGUGAAUGAAGAUUGUCAUGAGGUCGCUGCGCCAUCUACAGGAUAAGUCGGGGAACUUUUCAAAUGGCGGAACAUUUUCAAAGUGAAACCGGAUCUUAAUCUAUGCAUUUUAUUUCUGAAAAUAUUAGCGAAAAUCUGCGAGUUUUGGCUGAUUACUAAUCAAUCUCAAACGGGCUUAAAUCGGCCGAUUUGAUUGGCUCGCAGAUAAAUCGGUCGGGCCCUAUUAAGAACAAUACGUUCACGUUUGCCUGAACUAUGGAUGAGUUCAUAAAUGAUCACUCAUUGAACGUGUUCGGGCACAACACUGCCCUGGACACAUGCAUAGUUAGGCUGAAUGUGAACUGCAAAUGGGAGAAAAAGGUUGAAUUUAGAUGCCUGACAACAUGUUGCAAUCCUUGUACCUUCAGGACAAAGUGUAUGUUUUACUGUGCAGCUGAUGGACAGAGGCAACCUUCACCACCUUUACACUAAAUGUACUGUACAGAUAGUGCUUCCCACCAGCUAGAAAAAUCACUUCAAUAAUCCUCAGAGUGAACUGAAGGACAUAUAGCCUGCAGCUCUCGCAACCUACACAGUGCCGGGGGACGUUCUUGGACACGAGAGUUCUCAUGAUCGAAUGAUUUGAUUCUGCCAGCCGUGUUCAAGCUCACUUUGGCCGAUCUAACAUUAUUAGUGACUGCGGCUCGGGUGACCUUUUCAUUACCAGUGAAAAGUGGUAGACGUUUGAAGGGAUGGUGCUCACCAGCUGCAGUGUGAGGAGAUAACACAAAGCCGUUGUUCAAUUCAUAGAGGCAAUCCUAACAAAAAUACAAAGACAUAUAAAACACGUGUCCACACAUCGCCUUAAACCUCAAACUGAAGAGUCCUGAUCCCUCGAAUUGGUUGUUCACAAGGAAAACGCCAGUUGCAUCAUGUCCACAGUAUUUUAGCUUUCAUUAUUCAAAGUCUAGGCAGCUCAGAUUCAGUGUGAUGACACAACCGGAGGGAGCAUUAAAAUCAAUAAAAAUCUCAUUUAGAUAAACUGACUGGUAAGCUUUCCCUUCCAGCUGCCAUUGUGGUGUUGCUAUCGCAGCUUACUGCAUCUCAAUGAAUUUUUACGCUCAAUACCUGAUGACUGAUGAUGCGAAGAGUAGUUUCUUGUCCGGGGCUAACUGCUGGCAGGGCAAAGAGAGGAGAAGGUUUUCAAGCUUUUCAGCAGUGUGCACAAAAGAAUGAGGCUAUAUUAGAGAGAGGGGAGAAGUUUAUUUCCUUCUAUUUCACGCUUUAUAGUUUGUGAGUUUAUUGUUUGUAAAAUUGCCAAAUCAUUCCUCAACUUUAAAUAAAAGGGUUGGACUAACUUUCAACACAAGACUGAGGUUCAGUGCCUGCAUUAAACGAAGCACACUCUGUCAUUUGAAUGGGAAGUUAGGUUUUAUUAUGUAUAUUAGCAGCAUAAUAUAAACUUAGUGUUAGUUCAGGCAGGCCACAAAGUCAAGCUUGGCCAAGUAUAUAACUUGAUACCAAUGCCAAGUUUUAAUUUCAAUAGUAAUGUAUGAAUCAUCACUGUUGCUUCUCUGUUUGGGGUCUUUGCUGCCCUCCGCGCUCCAAUCAAAAUCAAAAAGUUCAGAUCAAGUAUCUAUGGUGGCCAAGAACCGCCACUGCUGCAAAUAAAAAAAUGAAAAAAAAAAAAAAGCAAAGAAAGAAACCACAAUGGUAGUUACUGAUGCAUUAAAAAAAGAAAGAAAACGAAGCCCGCUGCAAAUAAAAAACAAAAAAUGGUACAGUUAAAAAAAACAACAAAAAAAAACAACUGAAGUUAAUGACACACAAAAAAGUGGUGAUGCAAAAAAAAAAGUUACUUGCUGCGAAAAAAAAGGAUGCAAAUAAAAAAAAGCCACGAUGGAAGUUACUGAUACAAAAAAAAAGAAAAAAAAGAAACCAAAGCCUGCUGCAAAUAAAAAAAGUAACAGUAUGGAUGAAACAAAAAAUAAUAAAAAAAACCCAAUGGAAGUCAAUGACGCAAAAAAAGUGGUGAUGAAAACAAAAAACAAAAAAAAAAGUUACUGCGAAAAAAAAAGGAUGCAAAUUUUAAAAAAGGCCACAACGAAAGUUACUGAUUUUUUUUUCGCAUCCUUAACUUCCAUUGUGGCUUUUGUAUCUGCACAGUUUCUGUUUUUAUUUGCAGCAGGCUUCGGUUUCUUUCUUUUUCUUUUUUUUUUGCAUCAGUAACUUCCUUCGUGACUUAUUUGCACCACUGUAAGUAUCAAUGCAAGAGAGCUGCAAGAAAAUGGCAACAAAAGUUUAAAAAAAAAGUGUGCUUACAUGCUGAUUUGGCCAAAACUACCCACAGAACUGUUGUUUUGUGGUGGCCGAAAGGUGGCCGAACUGAUUUCAGCAGAGCUAUGGGCACCCCUUGGAUCCGCCCCUGGCUCUGAAUCUCACUACUAUACAGUUUUAAGAGCAUUCAUUUAUUUUAAAAAACCUAAAGUAUAACUCUCUUUAAGCAGAUCACAGAGCUUCAGUCUGCCUCUGCUGUAAAAAAUCCUGAGCUGAUGAUGGAGUGGCCUCGUGGCUGUGGUGUCUCAACUUCUCAUGAAAGGGUGACAAGAACAGGGCUUUGGGAACAUCUACAUGACAGUCACAGUUAAGUCUGUUUGCACAGUGGGAGCCCACAUCCUCAAUAGCCAGGAGGGUCUAAAUUUAAUUUGUGACCCUUGAAAAAAUUUUCAGAGCAGCCUGACCUGGACUGUGGUUAUCAUGUCAUCACACCUGGCAUCUCUCAGCUUUUGUUAGCGUCAAACAGCAGGGUUGCUGUCUGAGGUGGGAGCUCUUGGCGGAAGCGGGGAAAUGGCAAGUUUAAGAAUAGAAGUGUGGUAGGCUGUGAAAAUUGCUGAAGGCUUAGUUCUUUUUUGCUCGACUCAAAGCCGUGUGUUUGAGGUUCUUUGAUUUUAUUUUUCAUUUUACUCAAGAGAGGCUGACCUUAAGCGUUGACAUGCAGUAAAAGCAUUUCUAAGUAUAGGAAUUUAAAGCCAAGCUGCACAUAAGAUGCAGCUGGUAACAACUGGAAACACAAUGUUCAAUCUUCGUUAUGUCAACUCUAAAUUGGUAUGAGUGAAUUAAGUGACAAGCUUUAGUGCCAUAAUCUGUAAAUUAAUGUUUUGCACAUGUGCUUGAGGACUCUGACAGUCUCAUAUUGACUCCUUUUGCCUAUACUACAUGUUUUCCAGCCUACAGUGCUGUUAUUAUGAUUUCACUGUUGGAUCCGUCCCCAGCCUUUUUUUCUUUUUUUGUUUUGUUUUUUCAGAAAUUUUGAAUUUGAAACCAGAACAGUGAGUUUUUAGACAAAAUUUUAACUUGAUUAGAAUUGUGAUAUUUUUCUCAAAACUUAAGGAUUGAAUUCACAAUUCUAAGUUCCAAAAUUAAUUUUUUUCACAGUAUUUUGAGUCCAAUUUUUUCUUUGGGAAAAAAAAAAAAAUCUGAAUUUGAUCAUAUUUUGAUUGACCAGAAUUGCGUUGUGACUUUAUCUACUGAAGAGUCUAAAGUCUAAAUUCAGAGAGAUAAGACCAAGAAUUGAGACUUUCAUCUCUCAAAACUAAAACUGUAAAAAAGUUGAAAAAAUAAAUAAAUACAUGACAAAAAAAAAUUUGUUCUCUAGAUAUUUAACUACAUUGUUUCUACUGAAAUGAGUCAAAAUACAAACUUUUCUUAAAAUGUUUGUAUUCAAAUUCCAAUUCUAAUUUCCAAAUUUGAUUUUUGACUUUCUUCAAAGUAUUUCGAGUUGAGGUUUUUUUUGGAAAUAAAAAAAAACUCUGAAUUUGAUCAUAGUUUGAUUGACCAGAGAAAAGACCAAGAAUUGAGACUUUUAUCUUUCAAAAAUAAAACUGUAAAAAAGUUUAAAGAAAAAAAAAAAAGAAAUAACUGAAAAAAAUAAAAAGUUGUUCUUAAGAUUUUGAACUCCAGUUUUAUAUACUGAAAUCAGUCAAAUUACAAACUUUGCUCAAAAUGUUUCAUUCAAAUUAGAAUUCUGAGUAAAAUGCAAAAUUAUUAUUAUUUUUUUAUUUCACAAAUGUUGAAUUUUAAAACAGAAUUGUGAGUUUUCAGACAAUAUCUUGACUUGUUUUUUGGGGGGAAAAAAUUUGAAUUGAAUUCAAUUUAAUCAUAUUUUGAUUAACCAGAAUUGUGACUUUAUUCACUGAAGAGUUUCAAGGCUGAAUUCAGAGAGAUAAGACCAAGAAUUGUGACUUUUAUCUCUCAAAAAUAAAACAAUGAAAACAGUUAAAAAAAGAAUCUUCUUGAUUUACUACUUUUAUGCAGAAGCCCUGUUCCUCUUCUCUAACGAAAAGAAAAUGUGUAUGUCUUAUACGCAGCUCCUCCUGAAGUGUGACAUUAAUUGUUUGGCUGUAUAUCCACUACAUGUACAUAACUUACUCCUUUCCUUAAUGGAGAGUAUUUCCUUUAACUGGUAGCCGUGUGGAUUCCCCAGUUUAACCCGUAAUUUGUUUUUUUAAUCACUUGUAAACUGGAUGUUUUGCUCGGAUAACUAACACACCAGCCUUUUCCUUAAGCUGAUAGUAAUUCAGGCCAUAUUCCCCGUUCUCUUGUCAAGCUUGCUCGACUCGAGAAUUUCACUGCUGUAAAGGAAUGAAAUAAUUAGAGGCCUCCAGUCUCUGCAGAGGUCUCCUCUUCCUUCCCCCCCAUAACCUCCAGUGACAGAACAAUUUAGACUGAAACAUUGAACACAGCCAAGACCAAAUUAUAGCAACAGCACAAGAAGCCGAUAACCAAUUUUCAACUUGUAACGCAGCAGCUUUUGUUCUCAAACUCAUCAAAUGGUAAUUAAGCUUUUCCCCGUCGGGGUCCGUGGUGUAGAGUGAGUGGACUAGACAACAGGGCGCACGAGUGCACAGCAGUCUACACUACAGAAAAAGUUAUUUACAAAGAGAAAUUGCCUUUUAAAGAAGAAAUUGAUAUUCAGAGUACUUUUUAAACCAUACUAUGUCUUUUCUUGCUGGGAAAAAGUCCUAAGUUUCCGUUGGAGAAAGCUCACUCGGCUGUAACAUUAAGUUUCCAGAGUUUCUAUUACUCCACCUCGGAGACAGUUCAAGUAAAAGGGAUGUGAUGUGAUCCAGUGGCAGUCACUGUCAAGGAAGCACAAAGACCUUCAAUCUUUAAAAAUCAGGCACCGGCAGGGAGGAAGACUAGAUAAAUGAAAAAGAAGUAGAACAAAAGUGUGAGAGCACGGCAGUGAGUGGCUCCUCCUCUCAGUCCUUUUGACACCCCGACAGCUGAUACUCAGACAGUAAUGGGGGUUUGACACCGGGCUGAUGGGCACCCAGCCUAGCACGACUUGAGGUGAAAGGCUGUCCCAUCUUCCGGCAGUGGAGGUGGCAGCCGGCAGCCACCUCGCCUGCCAUGGAGGAAAUUCUCAUUCCGGGAAACCACCGAGUGGAACCAGUCUAUAACAGGAAACCUGGGAUCUGAUCCACUCUGUACAAGUUUGUACAAAAGAAAACUUGGACUGCAUAAGCUGGGUAAAGAGACAGUCUUGAUUUAAUCAGUUUCACAUUAGACACUUUUAUAGGCAAAGACUGUUUCGUGCCAAAAGUUCCUUUACAGGAGCUUUUUUAUUCUCUUUUUUAUUUAACCAGGUUGAGAUCGAGAUCUCAUUUACAAGAGUGACCUGGCCAAGAGGUCGGCAGCACACAUCACAAUGAUAAAUAAUAACAAAGAAGAAAAUGACCUCCAGAAACAUAAUUAAAAACACAAGCACUGUCCCAUGGUCUCCCCGAGUCUGUCAUGUAAGAUUGAACGAAAGGCUUCCAGCGAAAUUAAAGCUCCUGCCACACCGGGACCGUUUUCUUCUUGUGAUUAUUUCGAACGUCAAUAAUUUUUUUUCGAACCUGUAUCCUGUCAAUACAAGCGUUCACAUCAGUGACGUUUUCCCAUCCUGUGAUAUUGCAGCAUUUAUUUCGAUUUUUCUGAAGUUUCACAUACUGUGUGUCCACUUCUGACCAAUCAGAUUUCGUGUUGUUGUGACGUCAGAUUCACAGGUAUAUCCAACAUGGCUGACUGGCUGAUUGUUAACGUGUCGGAGAACAGAGUGCUUUUUGAUAAAAGACACAAAUAUUACAAAGAUUACGACCUGAAGGACAACUUGUGGAGAAUCAUAGUGUCGGAUUUCUCAUAUGAUGAUGGUUCGUGUGCUUUAACAGUUUGCUAAACGUCUUUGUUUUAACUUUCAUCUGUGCUAAGUAACUUUAGCUUGUAAGCUAACCUGUUCAGAUACAACAUACCAUAUGUAUUUUCACUGUCUCAAACUCAAUGGCGUUGCUGUCACAGCACCAUUAGGUCUUGGUUGUUACCUUACGUUUAUGGAUUAUAGUUUAAGUACGUACUGAAGAGUACACUUUUUUGCCCAGUUCAGUUCUUAUUUGCUGAACAAUCAAAUGGAUAGUGUUGUUUGAGCGCAGGGUGUAAUGUCUUUCAGUCCUUUGAAGAAGAUCAAAGAAGGAGCUAAGCCAAGAAGAACCUUAGAAAUUAGAGUCAUCCAGUGAGUGUACCCGCGAGUACUCAGCAAAGGCCAGCCAGACUUGGCAUAAAGUUCGCAGUGAUGUGUUAGGUGACUACAACCGGUGAGGAAUCUCAGCGCACAGUGAUAGACAGUUGUUAAGGACUGCAGGCAUUUGGCUGAAGCAGUCAUAUAUAAAACAUCACCAUAAUCCAACAGUGGAAGAAAGGUAGCAGAUACAAGGUAUUUUUGAGCACUGAGGGAGAAGCAGGUUUAUUCAUGUAGUCGAAACCAAGUUUUAAUCUGAGUUUAGUGGCCAAACUAGCAAUAUGUGCAAGAAAACCCAGAUAUUUAUACACAGAUACAAGCUCAAUGAGUACACCCUGCAAAGUUAGAACAGAGGGACUGUUCCCAGGUAACUCACCCUUGCUCGAAAAUACCAUGAGUUUGGUUUUAUUUGGCGACCAAUUUGAGUUUCCAGACAGAUUAUUAAAUAUCGGGAUAAAUCUUGGAAAUUCAUAAAACCAAACACAGAAGCUAAAAUCUGUUUUCUUAAACAUCACAGAGGUGAAAGGAUCAGUCGUACAACUUAAACUUUGUACUGCUCCUUUAUUAACAUCAAAGCAGUCUGACGUUAUCCUGAGAAAAUCCGUCUAAUCCUCCAGGAUCAGACGUUUUCACAGCUUCAUGAUGAAAAGACCAGAAACUGAUGAUUAUUGGUGUGACACACAUUCUGGUCUUUACAGUAGACGGCGUCGGCCUCGCUGUUUCUCAAACCUCAGAGUGUGGCGUGGUUUGCUCUAACAGGCUCGCUGUUAAACUUUUGCUUUCAACUCGCUACUUUUUCCCCCGGGCAUAUCCUCUUUAGCCUUUACGUCUGAAACUUCGAACCUUCCUUUCAUCUCUUUGUGUUCGGCCCAAUACGCUGAGGCACAAUUAGGCAGACGAGACCCUAAUUUAUACUCAGCGGUGACAAAUGGUCAGUGAAUCGUAAAACGAUAUAAUUACCUUUCAAAAAACUACGCCGGACCUCAUUUAACUGACAUUAAUUAGUCAGACUGUUUCGAGCUACAGUUGGAAACCUUUCCGACUGUGAAUGGUCAUACAAGUCCGACUCAUAAUUAAGCUCAUACUCUUACAGAUAUUAUCUUUAGGCUCGGUAUGCUAAUAAGAAUUUGAUCUGGGGGAUUCUUCCCGCUUUCUCAAUGUGUGCGAGGACCCCUGAUGAAUAUUUCACCCUGUGCUGCCGCACUGAUGAGCAGGCUAGUCAAGCACAUUGAUGUCCUUUCAGCGAGUGACUGACAGGUUCCCCAUUGUUGAAAUAAGCCAGCUGAGGAGACAAGAAAACUGCAGGGAAAAAAAACGUUGGAGGAGAUACUUUUCUUGUAAUAUUUCUCUCUUUUUCUCUCUGGCAGUGACCUUCUCACUUUAAUUGGCCUGCUGUUUGAAUACGCCACAAAAAAAGAAAGGAUUCAUUUGUAACCUAAAUGCUAACGGAGCUGUUUACGAUCUAAACAUGAACGGUAAAUUUCUGUCUGAAUGAAAACUCUAUUAGCGGUUGUAUGCGCACUGAUACAGUCGGUCCCGAGUGAUACUCUGUCAAAAACUUGUAUUUGAUGUUGUUGUAUGCUUCGACUAUCAGCAAGAGGCCUGCGUAAUUGGCCACAUUGUGUACUCCCUAUAUUUCACUGAGUAUCUACAGGGUGCACACCAAAAAAGCAAACAGAAGCUAUUUUGGGAUUUCUCCUUCUACAUCUUCCUUCUGAAGCUCAAAUCCCUCCCUGAGAUUGUAAAAAUGGAGGAAUUCUUGACUUAUUAUGCGGCGUUUGACAUAUUUUACAGUCUCCCAGCGCUGAUGGGACUAAUUCCUGUGUCUGCGAUGAUUACCCCCUCUGUUGGCAUCCAUUACGGGUGCAUGACUCUCAUCUCCAGCCAAGUCAUCCUUUCCUUACACCCAGCCCCCCCAUUACAGAGCGGCUGAAAUCCAUUCCCUUGCUCGCAGUUAAAUCACACACUGCAGGCCUCCGAGUGCUUUCGCGCCCUCGCGGAGGCAAACCUCAUCCAUCAGCCUCACCCGCAGCUGUGAAUAGCUGAUUUUUUUUUUCUUUUUUUUUUUCCUUCUUCCAUUUUUUGCUUGCUCUGUACACAAAUGAUGUGUGUAAAUAUUGCAGAGGGAGUUAAUGAAUUGAUGGCGCAGGGUAUCGGAAUGGAUGUGUCCUCUUGGUAAGUACGCUCUUAAUGUAGAGGUCAUUAAACUGUUCAACCAGCCCACUCCUAAAUCUAUCAGGGUGGGAAUCAGUCAAAUUAAAGCACUGAGCUGGCACUAAAAUGCGUUUAAAAGAGUUAGUCGAAUUUAGCAGUCAGACAAGACAAGGCUGAGGUGGUGUUAGCAAAAGUGGGGGUCAGCACUGGGGCACCUGAGGAAGGCAGCGACUGCAACACAAAAAUACCAAUCUGAGCACCAAACAGCUUAAAGUUGUGUACCACUUGUGUGUUGAAUGACCGCACAAUAGUAAUACAGAGAGCCACGCGCUCAACCAAAACACCACUCUAUAGACACAAAUAAUGCUCAGAACAGCACCUAACUUCAUCAACAGGACAUAUAGGGUCCCAGCCACAGCACUAGCCACCAAAAAUCUUUUUAGCUUUGCCUGAUUUCUUUACCAAAGAGACUCACCUACUCUCUUCCAGCAGCCACUUGUUUGUAGGGGCGAGUCCAUCGACUACAGUGGGGUUACGCAGCUCAAGGAAGAACAUUUAUGAUCAUUACUCCAUGAUAAAACAUCUGCACCAUCUUACUACAGAUAUCUAUUGAUCGGAGUAUUGAUUUUAGUCACUUUGCAAAAGAAAUUAGGCAAAGUUAAAAAGAUGUUUGGUAGCUAGUUCUAUGGCAGGGGCCCUAUAUGUACUGUUGAUGAAGUUAGGUGCUGUUCCGAAGAUUAUUUGUGGCUAUAGAGUGGCGUUUUGGUUGAGCACAUGGCUCUCCGUAUUGCCUUCUGCGGUCGUUACUAAAGUUGGUAUAAAUAGAGAAGCAAGCGGUCAGCAACAUUCUUCUCUCGAGGGGGUGUCUAAAUCGACGUUAUGGUGUGUUUGACCCUAACUUAAUUUUGCGCUGGAGUAUCCCUUAAACCAACCAGGAGAUGUGACAGCAACACUUCUGUACAUGUCCAGUGCCACAAUCCUCAUAAAUACACGAGUGGUACACAACUUUAAUCUGUUUGGUGCUCAGAUUGGUGUUACGGUGUGUUUGACCUGAACUUAAUUUUACACCAGAAUAUCCCUUUAGUUUUUUUUUGUUUUUUUUUGUCAUCCCUCAUAUUUCUUAUCUUGUAUUUCCUGUUUUAUUUUGAUACUCAGCCUUGUCACUUCUUUCAGGUUCAUUGACUUCCUCCUCCUUGUCACCUGCUCCCCUGAUUACCCUGAUUAGUCUCACCUGUGUCUCGUUAACUCUACUACCCUGGUGUAUUUAAACCCAGCUUUGCCUCCCCUCUGUGCCAGUUCGUCUUGUCCUUAGCGUCAGAGUUCCAGCAUUUAUUCCUAUUGUUUGCCUCAGUAGCUGCGUUUACAUGGGCACAAAUAAUCGGAAUAAAGGCCUGUUCGGAAUAACCGAUCAUUAUUCCGAAACGCGUCCAUGUAAACACUUAUUCCGAUCGUGACUCUCUUACCUGACUUGAUCUUCACUCUUUAACCUUUGGUUUAUUUAUUGAGGUCAGUACUAGAGGUUUCAUUAUUAACACUCUGGCAUAAAACACAACCGCAGGAAACAUGUCUUCUCCUCCGGUAACGUAACAAGGCGUACAUACAGCGUAAUCAUGUCACAUCUGCACGUACAGCGCAACCUUUGACAGAACAGUAGAAUAAGUACACAAGGGCGCCAUCUAGUGACAACAUUUACUAGGGAAAAAUCCUGAUUUGGAUGAAGUGAGACACUACUGUGUUUGUUGUACGUCAUGAUCGGAUUAUUUGAUUUUGCACCCAUAUAAACAGUGGAUUCAGAUUAUCUGAUGCCUCAAAUUUUUAAUUGGAUCAAGAAAUUUUGCCCAUGUAAACAUGGCGAUUGUGUUGACCUCAUUUCAGUACUGCUUGACUUAGCCUCUUGCCUGUGCUUUUUUUGGAUCCUGUGCACCGACUCUUUUUAACACCAUGUCCAGGAUUUCCAAAAAUAAUUUCCACAUAGAGUCACAGAAAUGUUGGGAUUGUGUGGUGCUGUCCAAGGUGCUGAUCCCGCAGACCUAUUAUGAAAUUAGCAGACUUCCUUUUUCAUUCCCUCAAGCUGCUGUAUUGUUCUUCGACCCUGGUGGUGCUCUCUAUUCAGAAACUACUUCUGCUGUUGUAAUAAGAAUAAAUGCAGCCUGGUAAUACUCUAAACGGUGUCAUGAAGAGGUUUUGGCAGCGCUAAGAGUUAUAUAGUUAAAUAUUUGAAGAGGUGCAUGUCAAUGUGACCUUCUCUGGUGCUGUGGAGGAAAUAAAUGUGAGUCUCUUUUCUGGUUAUUGCUGUAAAAGUGCUGCACAGACAGUAUGUAUCUUAAAAACAGUUAAACAAGGAGAAGAUUAACGUUUUGUGACAAGCUUGGAAAACCCCAAUUAGCUGGAGUUUGUUUCCACCGAGGCUGAUCAAUCAUCUAACCCGCCUCCCCUCGCUGUCACUCAACUAGACACAUUAAUGAGAGUGACAGUGAAAAGAAAAUAUGUGUUUUCAUGAAUUUUCCUGCAUUUGUAUCUGCUGUAUGCUGCAUUUGCUGCAGAAGGUGUCCAAGGCCGUGCAUCGAGGGAUUCAAUUGAGACAGAGAGACAACACACAAUGGGUUAUAAAUCCAUAGCACUUCUCAGGAUUAAAAAAAGGGUCACCGGAAUAGUUAUGAGGGCCUGAUCUGAGCCAGAAAUUGUGAAUCUUAAUCCACCAUGACUGAAAAGGCCGAAAACUACGUGAUAAAGAGUGAAAAUUAUAGAACCAAAACAGUGCAAGCUGGUUUCGGCGGAUAAAAGCGAAGCUCUGCUGGCAUUUCUCGCUCCGCCAUGAUGCAUCAACCUCUCCUUGGCUCUGUAAUGGUGUCAAAUGCGUCCUUUAGCUCUGUGUUGUCUUGGGGAAACACACUCGAGCCGAUGAAGGAAUCGACGGAUCAAUGAAGAACCGGUGGAAGAAGAAAUAUUCCAACUGAGGAGCCGUGGCAAGGCGACGGGAAAGAAAAUCAAAAGACAAUGUGCUCAACUGCUUGUUCAUCAGUCUGAGAUAAUUGUUCUUCUGUUUUACGGGUUGCAAAACAGAUUGAUGAUAUAACAGCACUGACAAAAGAUAUAUAGGGCGAAUACACACUUUAAAAGGCCUCUUCAACGACUGCACAAUAAAUAAAAUAAGCAAAUCUUCAAGUGUGUCCAUGGUAACAGCAGUGAAAGCAAACUAUAAGUGUUUUUCUUUUUGAUCCUUUUUAGAAAAUUGUGGAAAUUAGUUUAGGUUCUGGCGUUCCCAUCCAGAGGGAGCACAUUUACUUGUCAAAUGGAAAAAGAAGGCGCUGUAUAAACGUAUAAAAUCCUAGAAUAUAACUCCAGCUGUCACCUUCAUUCAGAGUGUGUUGAUUGUUAAGCCACCCAUGAAGGGGAUUUAAGAUCCGGAACCCCUUUCUUCAUCAUUCACCAUUCUCCUUAUUGGUGUGGAAUGGUUAAUUUGAUAUUUCUUGACUUUUACGCAUGCUGAAAAUGAGUAUUAAUGUGUUUGUGUGCGUUAUGGGAGUGUAUGCACAAACUGCAGGUUUGCAUCUUUACAGUAUACCUCCACAAACACGAAAAGCCCAUUAUUGACCUUUGCUUUUCCAUUUGAUGCCCCCCAUGCGGAAAGGCUUUGCCACGUCUGUAGGUCAUGCAUCAAGAGCUCGGUAUUAAGGGGUGAAUUGUCACAAGGAAUGUCUCGCAUCCCGUGGAGUCGUGUUUUUGAAGCCGCCUUUGAUGUUUCCCCUCUUUGUAGCGCCGCCGCCACCGCCGAUGUUUGUGCUCACAAUUUCCGGUGAUGCGGCCCACGACGGUGCAGAAUACAAACAGGGAUCAAAUCACGGGGUUGAGUUGUGCCGUGGCGUCUUUGGAUAUAUUUUCAAAGACGAUAAAAAAAAUGAUUUAAAGCUCCUUUGAUCUCUUGGAAAAACUCAGUUUCCUUGGGUUCAAUAAAUCAAAGUAAUGAAUAAAAUAUGGGGAACAGGGGAAAUGUGAGCCCAAAUGUUAUCUUAGUACUGUAAGGUGUUUGUUUAAAUAUUAACAGCUUGAAAAAAAAUACUAGUAUUGGAUAAAAUAACUAGAUUCCAACAACUUUUCAGAGAGCAUAAGAAAACUGCGUUGAUUACAAGAUGGCCAGUUUCCGUACAAAAGGCUCGAGGCUGAAACUAGAAGGUGGUUUCCAGGCUUGUAGGUGGCAUUACAUCAAAAAUGGACAUGACUUUGUAGUGGAAAGCAGCGCAUGAACACACUUUGCUGCUGUACCUGUGGUCUGACAAAUAAGUAAUUGAUGUUAUCUUUGAAAUGAUGGACACUCCACUCGACAGAGAUCGCCCACUUUGUUUGUGCACAGCUCAAAAGCCAUUAUCUGUAAUCUGAUAGCAGUGUUUUCCCUACAUUUAUUCAGCAGCGGCGGAAUUCUUUGCGCCGCAACUGCCGAAAUUUCACAUGACCAUUAAUAUCAGUGCGCCGUUAAUGAUUUCUACUCGCACUGAGCCAGCACAACAACACACGUUAUUUUAGACAUGUUUUGAGUCGUCAAUGAGCGCGUCAAAUCCUGUCGCACCCUCUUCCCUUAAGGGGGGAGGUUAACAAGCUUAUACACGCUCUUUAUCGCGAGUAGCAUCAAUAGCAUGCGUAGCAUUAAUAUCAAUGCGCCACUAAUAAUUUCUUCUCGCACUUUGUUAGCAUAACAACAAACAACAUUAUUUUCGACAUGUUUUGAGUCGUCAAUGAGCGUGUUAAAUCCUGUCGCACCCUCUUCCCUCAAGGCGGAAUGUUAACAAGCUUAUACAUGCCCAAUAUAGCGAGUUGCAUCAAUAUCAAUGCGCCACUAAUGAUUCCUACUCACGCUGUGUUAGCAUAACAACACUUGACAUUUUUUUUCGAAUUGUUUUCAGUCGUCAACGAGCGCGUCAAAUCCUAUCGGACCCCUCUUCCCUUAAGGUGGAAGGUUAACGAGCUUAUACACGCUCUAUAUAGCAUUAAUAGCAUUGGUAGCAUUAAUUUCAAUGCGCCACUAAUAAUUUCUACUCGCACUGUGUAAGCGCAACAACACAUGACGUUAUUUACGACUUGUUUUGAGUCGUCAAUGAGCGAGUCAAAUCCUGUCGGACCCUCUUUCACUAAUGUUAAAGGGUAACAUUCAAGCUUAUACACAGUCUAUGUAGCAAGUAGCGCAGGUACUAUAAUGUGAGUGUAGAGAGUAGGGGUAACAGCAAACCUCCCAACAGACAUAGGAGCGCCGCUGCUGAAAAAUAUUCUAGUAGAGACAGUGGAUAGGAUCAUACCUAUACCUACUUGAUAUGUUGUCUGUGCUAGUUUUUUUUUUUAAUCAAAGUAAGGGUUUUAAACAACAUGUAGACCAUCACAUUUUAUUAACUUUUACAAGUCAUCCUUACUUUUUGAAACUAAGCUAUAAGUUAAAAAAUUGAUGAAAUAAGAUGUUAAUGUUCCUUUAAAAGUCAAUGGGUUUCAUACUUUGCCUCUGAAGCCACCUUCAAGUUGACCUUUGAAGACUAAAACAUCAACACCUGCGGCAGCAACUCACUUAGAAAGCUUAGGGGUCUUCUCUCACCAUGUGUAUUUGGCACGUCCACCUGCUCACCUCCCAUUUACUUGAGCUGUUGAGUGCCGGGUAAGCUUAAUACUUUACAGAGACAUGUGGGAUGUGCUUCCUCAACUUUUUGACACACAAUAUUUACUCACAGUGGCUACAGGUGAAACCUUCCCAGCAUUUGUGCUCCGUAGCAGCAACUUCUUUAUUAUUUUCCUGCCUCUUUAAUCAUCUCAAGACUCUUAACUUUCACAAAUUGCCACAAACUGUGUAUUUACCAUUGUUUUAUUUCACCAGACUUGGCACACAAACUGCACCAACAUAGUUGUCUCCUUGAGAUGAACAAGCAGGCUGCUUAUUUUCACUUUACUGCAGCUGUCUGUCUAAACACAGCCGCGUUUAGAACAAAGCUCCCAGCGUUUUCAAGUUGUUUUAAUUCUUGGCAAGCCCUGGCGGGAAAAAUAAAAUCUUUUGUACAUUCAAAAACACGCUCGCUUAUGCACAUGCGAGUUUCCUACGGUGGCAGAAAUCUUUGCAACUGUACAUUCAUUUCCGUCUUGGCAGAAACACCUUCCCUUUUCUGCAGGCGAUACUUAAGACCCCGCAGCUCACACGCGCUCGAAACGUACACAAGUGAUAACAGCAGUGGCAAAGCUUAAAAGAACUGUACAUGUUUACACUGCCCCGGGCUUGUUUAACUUUAGCAUUAAUUGGCUGGUCUUGUGUCAACAAGUGAAAUACCAUUGAGGGAUUAUAACACAAUUAAGUUGUAUGCAGCGUGACAAAGUUGACUAAUAUUUUCUAAGCAGUUAAUUUCCUGUCUCUUCAGCCGCUGAUAAGGCUCGAAUGCAAUGAUUAAAAAUCACCUCAGAAAAGGCCACCGAACAGACAAUGAGCAGCUCUGCAUUUCUGCUAAAUGAAACGCAGAGUCUGAAUUGAUCCAGGCAUCGAUUCCAAGUCUGACCUCCACAAUCUUCAGCCGCACACAUGCAGUGAAGGAUUGAAUGAUACCCAGGCAUUAUGUCCUCUGGAAUACACUGCAGUGCAUUUGUAUAUUGUUGUCUGCAAAGAACGCCCUCCCCGGAGCAAAUUGAAAUUGCCAGCUCCCUGGAGACCCUGUGCAUCUUUUUUUCAACAUCGCUGGAUAGUAAAACCUGGAAAAAAAAAUAAAAGAAAAAAGAAAAACCUGAUCACCCCUUCUCUGAAAACAGAAAAUGGAUGAGCCGGUUGCUUUCUCAGGGCCUGCCCGACAUCAAUCACAUUCACUGAAGGUACAAAAGGACCUUUUUAAAUCUUCUGAACUUUUCCAGCAGCACACGCUGUUACCUUCUCCUCAGUGCCCUGUCACUAUGAAUUGGGUUGCGCUUUGGUAAACAUAUUUCCUGCUCUUACUUUGAACACCGGUUUCUUCCUCUUGUGUGGGGUUUUCAUUUAUUUUUUUCGGAGUCUGUGCGCACGGUGAAGUAGGAGAAGAAAGACUGGCGUUCUCAAGCCGUGAGAUGAAAAUAAAGGCAUUAUACACCCCUGUUAGAGCUUAAAAGACCCAGUCAAACAGGGUUAUUUUCACUGUCUAGCAGGGGUGUGUCUCCAAUGAAUGGUCCAGGGUGGCAGGGGCCCCUUAAACCACCUGACCCCCUGUAAUCUGUACAGUUUAUUCAUUAAAAUUUUACCAUUUUGAAGUGAAACACUGUCUGCUUUUCUCCUAAGACAUAUUUUGACAUUCUUUUUGGAAAUCAUGGAAGUCAUGUCCUCUUCUAUUCAGUGGACAUCACUCCUAAUUCAGCAACACUCUCAUCUUCUCCCAGUUCAGGACUAUGAAAGAUGAACUAAAGUGAGGUGAAAAGCUGUCCACUUACAAAAUAUGUUCUUCUUUUUGGAAAUCAUGGAAGCCAUGCCUUGCAAGAGACUGUUGAUUCAGGAUUGCUUUCAUCUUCUCUGGAUCCACGCCUAUUAACUGAGGCAAAAUAAAAAAGAAACCACUUUUCCUGGAAGACAGAAUUUGACAUUCUUUUUGGAAAUCAUGGAAGUCAUGUCUUCUACUCCUAAGUGGAAGAAAUCUUGAUUGAACAGCUCUUUCCCCCAAGCUUACUCAAGAGAAACUGAGCCUAAAUCCAAAAGCAAUCCACUUUUCUAAAAUAACAAAAAAUGACAUUCUCUUUGGAAAUCAUGGAAACAAAACAGUGUCUUCUACUCUUAAGAAUGGAAGAAAUCCUGAUUGAACAGCUCUUGCUCCCAAGCCCACUCAAGAUGAACUGAGCCUAAAUCCAAAAGCAAUCCACUUUUCUAAAAUAACAAAAAAUGACAUUCUCUUUGGAAAUCAUGGAAACUCAACCAUGUCUUGUACUCUUAAGAGUGGAAGAAAAUCUUGAUCCAGCAGCACCCUGGCUGACUUUGAGACUAAGUGUAAAACCAUCCAAUUGGGUGAUGAGUCAAAACUUUGCUUUCUUUUUGGAAAUCUUGGAUGCUGUCUUCCGCUCUAAAGCCAUUAAGGAUUGUGAAUUAUAGUUAUGUGGAUUGGCAUUGUAAAUAAACGUAUGAUACUUUUGUAAAAGUAGUUUUUUUAUAUAUGAUAAGUGAUGUUCAGGAAGAUUAUUUAUUGAUACUAAGUGUGCCCCUUUUUAACCAACCUCUAGUUUGGCCACCCCAAUCUAAAAGGAAGAUAUGUACAUUACCUCCUGCUUGCUGUUUUGUUUGUUUAUCCUUUGGUUUAACCGUAAAUUCUCUUCAUAAAUAGAGUUAACUUGAUUCAUUUAGCAUGCUAAUAGUUUAAUAUUAUGUAAAGUAGCCUGCGCUUAUGUGUGUUUGCUUUUAUGCUUAAAAAAUGGUUGAGUCCUGCCCUUUAUGCCAUCGACUCCAUUAAAGGAAUGAGGCUAUAAGCAGGUGAGGUAACUCUCGAUAGGGAGGCUGGGAAAAGAACGAGCGAGUGAUGGAGAGAGAGGGAGGUUCUUGUGACAUGGCGUUGGGCCAGGGUCAGUGACGGCUGACUAAUGACUUUCACUGAAGGUGUCAGCCUCAGAUUUAUAUCCCACCCCUUCCCUUGCCCGAACCCACUCUCGGUAUCUUUAAAGCAAGAGUUAUUCAUGAACUAUAGGGGGCUUGGGCACAAGUAAAAAUGCAGCUUGGAGAUUUACAGCCGAGGCCGUUUGCCAAAGCGAAUGCAUACACACGACUGGUGAUUUAGCAGUAAAUAAAAUGUCGGCCAGACGGGGAUCAUCAUAAGACAUCAAGACCACAAAUAUAAACAAAUGUCACUUAGAAAGACUGAAAUAGCUUAUUUAUGUCCUCUUUCACCCUUAUAUGAUAAUAGAAAGUGUUGUAGUGAUUACCCUGGUGACACUGACCUUUAAAUUAUGAAAAAAAUAUACACAGCAGCCAGAGGCUAUGUGAUGAGGUCUGCUGUGCACAAAAACAACACUGCUAGCUAAAAGAAAGGACCUUAAAAGACAGAAUUUUCCCUUUUGAGAAGUACUCGAAACUUGAGCCUGGUACCCAACACGUUUCUUUUUGGCAAACAAUAAAUCUUUAUUGACUCCCUCCUGUCUGUUAAAUUCCCACACCUGUCAAACUCCAUUCCUCUAGUUUGCACCACCAGAUUUUGGUUAAAAUUUCAUCCACAAGGCCAAGCCAAGCAAGGAAAAUCUUACCCAGGGUUGAUUUUGUCAGGGAUGAAAGCUGCAGGACAUUUCACAGCUGUUUUCACAGGUUGACUGGUACUACUCAUGACAAACCAGCUGGCCUUUAAAUCAAAGGCGCGCCCCCUUUAACAGCGUGUUUUGUGGGAGUCGAGGGAUAAAACAAUUGGCCACAAGCUGGGAAAAUCCCAGUCCUGCCCUCUGCGGCAGUGUCUUAACUCGCUUGUCUGCUCCAGUGAACAUUGUUGGCACUAUUUGUGAGCGAGGUUCCCAGCAUGGGACCAUGUAUCCAUCCUGCAGAACUCAUGACUUCUCUGCUCAAUCUCCCUCCCAAGCUAUCAUUUACGCCAGCUUGGUUAGUGAGCCAAUACUUCCAAAUAUGACUCCUUGGAUGCCUCUUACAUGUCAACGCCGGCCUCUAUUCUCUGAAUUAAUAUUUCAGUUUGACUUUGGAGUCAGGUGAUGUGGUGUGAUAAGCUGGGGAUGACUUACGGUGGAGGUCAUUUAGUUCGUGGUUCGACUCCCAUUCAAAGCAAGCAGUCAGCAGUUUUAUUUACAUUAAAGGCGUGGUUGAUGAUCCUCUUCGACUCUGCCCUUUCUUCCGUUGGCUUGCGUUUUCUUUGCACUUUUGGUGGUGGGGCAAGCAGAAAAGGGUUUUUUUUUUUCCCCAUCCGUCUCCAUCACAGCUCCUGUAGCUAAGCUGCUACGCUAGUUUUAGCUGCUCAGAGUUCCAAGGAGAGCCGAGAGAGUGGGAGGGGAUUAGUCGGAACUAGGGGGGAGAGGUGUGUCGAAUACAGCAAGGUGAUUGGAUGGAGAAGCAGAGCAUGAGAUUGACCAAUACUAGCUGUCCAGGAAUUAUUAUUAUUUUUUUUGGAUGGUAGGGCAAGGUCCCGCCCUCCUUCACCUCUGAUUGGCUAGAAAUGCUGGGCUCCGAUUGGUUAUUCCUAAUGGCUGUGAAACGUCAUCGUCUUUUGGGUUAGGGUUAGGGUUAGGGUUAGAAUGAGGGUAAGGGUUAGGGUUAGGGUUCGGAGAUUCAGAUGUGCGAUAAUGUUCUGUUUGAUGUACAGAGCCAACAGCCCACGUUUGACUUGAGUGUGUGAUGACGUUUCCAGCUUUUCUAGCCAAUCAGAAGUGAAGGAGGCAGGAUUUAAAAAUAUUGCGCCUGGGACGGAUGGCUUGCAUUGGUCUAUGUUUUUGCAGCCCUGCACCUGCUAGGGUGAACAGAUUUUUUCCAUUCUUUUUUCUCUUCACUUUAUGAAAAUCGAACUUUAGGACCAUGACCAUAAUAAUUACCAAUCUCUCCAAUCAUCAACCAUGCCUUUUAGAUAUCUUGAAAGUGUAACUCCAACCAUUAAAUCCACAGGCCUUUUUUUGAGUAUGUGUUCGGAACCAAUUCCCAGUACUUGGAAUGAGCUUAUCAUAUGGCACCUAUGAAUUAAAGUCCAAAAUAGUGCCCAGAGGGUGCACACAAUAAAAACUGCAGGCCAGAAUCAAACCUGAGCUGCAUGCUUGAUGUAGUCUCUAUACAUGGGGCGCACCUCUAAACCCCUUAGCCAAUGGUUCCCUCUGCAGCUGGGACUCUAUUUUCACAACAAAACCUAAAAACUGUGCAAGUUCAGAAUCAGAAACUACUAAUUCAUCAGUUUCUGACAUAUCCGUUUACCUUCUCCCUGCUGCGUCCCUAAAAGUUGCAGGUAUCUCCUGCAUACUGCACAUUAUAAAACAAACACAGAGAUAACAGGUUUUUCCAAAAGUGAGAUAAUCACCUCAUUUACAUACAGGCUGAGUCAAGCAGCUCCUGCUGAUUGCUAGCAAGACGCAGGGGUGCCUUUGAGCAUAAACGGAGAGGGAUACAGAGGGAGAGAGAGUUUCACACGUCACACAUGGUGGAGGCUUUUUUAUCCAACUAGCUGUAACAGUGCAGUGAGUUUAGGACAGCAAAGAGGGUGUGAAUGAGAAAAAAGACAGGAGUGUUGACAAAGACAUGAUGAGUCAAUUAUCUAAAUGGUGAGUGUGUGUGCGGGCGUGCACAAGUGUGGAGUCCACAGAGAUUUCUCGUGCCGAUGGCCCCUGUUAUUCAUGCAGGUUAAUCAAAGUGGAGCCUCCUCAUCGCCAGUUUAAUCCAGACUGGCACCAAGAAGUAGAGAAUGUAAAUGUUUUUACAUGGUGCUCGUCAAUCGCGCGGAGGAUUUUCACAGUCAUUUUAAAAAAGGAGACAAACUGCGACGUGCACACACAAAUACACACACGAACAGAUUUGUGCACAUUUCCACAGGGUGAUUAUGAAGCGCAUAAGGACAUUUGAGAGUUGGGAGUUGGAGAGUCCAGCCGGUUAGAGAGUAUUUGGCAAGCAAGGUAGGGGAACCAUGAUUACAGCCUGAGUGCUUUUUUUCCCAUCGACCCCCAGAUGGCUAAUUGACAAAGGUUUAAUGGCGCCAUCAUUUGCAAGAAAACUGAAAAAAAUAACCCCCUAGGCAUGAAACCACGGACCGUGUAAAAGGAAGUGGAAGUAGCCACUCUUGGAUUCAAAAGCGAAGCCAGUGCUGGAGUGCAAUUAACCUGCAUUGUUUCUCAUCGCUGGCAAAGGGGGGGCUGCACUCAGCUCAAAGAAACCAGAUGGGAAAAUUACCCCAUUUCCCUGUCAAUUUAUUACCUUAUUAACAUUUUCCUAAUGAUUUAAUCGCCUUAAUUGCUAGUUUCAAGUCUUCAUUCAUACAGUGCGGUGUUAUUUUUUUAAAACAUUGGUCCCAUUUGGAGUAAAACCAGCAAUGAAGCAGACUUUGCUUUAAAAAUUUGGCUACCUUUUGGUCAGCUGUUGCUACUUUGACUGACUUUCAACCAAAAUAGAGACAAUCUAAGAAUGUGCAUUAAACAUAUUGUCCGUCUAAAGCCACUCCAACCAAGAUGGUGACCUCUUCAAUUUCAAAAGACAACAUCCUCCACCAAGUACUAUCCCAUUUGUUCAUUUUUGAAUGUUUGAGGAUUGUUUUUAAUUAUCUGAGCCAGAUAAAACACCUCACUCCACUCCAGCAAGUGCCAGCAGACACCCUAAAGGUGUAAACACCUCACGGUAGUAAUCACCGCACUGCUGUUCUCUAGGAUCAGUGGCCAGCAAUUUCAAUCUACCCAGCAGUUCAACUUUCUGCUCCCCGCUGCACCUCAUGAACAACUUUCCAGGCACCUUAAGGGUUCUCUUAGAUUCUCCAUUCAUUGGCGAGAACUCCAACACAGAAACUAAAUGAAAGGGCAUAGCAAGUCAUUGAAGCCUCGGGCAUCUUUUCUGUAAUGGUAACAUGUUUUUUCUUCUUUCUUCUCCCAGAAGGUGUAAUAACAGCCUUCUUCAAACAACUUCAACCAACAAGGUCUCUGAUCUUUACUUGCGUAUGUCCGUGUGUAGGGAGGGGGAUGGCGGAUAAGGUGAUAAAAAAAUGAUUGGAUUCUGUCAUGAAUAAGUCUCAAUGUAUGAAUAGUGCAUGGACCACCAUAUUCUACAAGAAGAAAACAACAUCAUCGUAUAGAAAAUAGAGACCAAACGCCUGCGAUUGAAAGUGAUUCAAAAAAGUGCCCACAAUUCCAACAAAGAGUAGAGGUCGGUUAAUCUUCCUGCAAGAAGCUGGAGGUUAGGGCCAGACUGAUUUAUCAGCAAGUCGAUUAAAUCGGCCAAUUUAGCCUGUUUGAGACUAAUCGGUAACUGGCCAAAACUCGACGAUUUUCGCUGAUAUUUUCAGAAAUAAAAUGCGGAGAACAAGAUUUGGUUUCACUUUGAAAAUGUUCCGCCAUUUGAAAACAUCUACUUAUCCUGUAGAUGGCGCAACGACCUCUGGACAAUGGGCAGCUCAGGGACGCACGGAGGGGAGUGGUCCGCCUCAACAGUGGAUAAACCAGUUGAGGCGUACACAAUAAGUCAACAAGUUUCAGUUCAACCCACUUCACGAUGUUCCCCGCUGUGCUGGUCUCGGUCACGCUGAGUUAACAGUGAAGCACCAUGUAAUAUGCAAGCUAAAGUUAGAGUUAGCAAUCUGCUAUAAGCCUUGCUACACUGUUAGCCGUGUCAGUAACGGUAGAACAAACAACAGUAAACAUUACGUGAUCGAGCUACUUCUCUUACUGAGGCAGCUGCAUGUCUCCAGAUGAGACCGGACCGUAAAUGAGUAUCGUGAGUGAAGACGCGUAGGCACCAAUCGUAGUUGAAAACGCUUUUCCGGUCCAAGUUUGAUCAGUUCAGUCUUCCUGUCGUUGUCAAGAGCAGUAGCCUACAGUAUAUCCACAGUAUCUACAGUAUACAUAUAUAUUUUUUAUAACUUAAGUAAAAAAAAUAAAAAAUCGGCCGAUUAAUCUGUAAUCUGAUCUCCCCCCCCCUUAUGAUCAUUAUCGGUAUCGGCAUUGGCCCCAAAAAAUCCAUAUCGGUCAAGCCCUACUGAAGGUCAGCACUGUAUCUAUGCCACUGCACCUUGUGCCCAAAUAGCAUAUAGAUGUGUUUGCACAGAAUCCAACCCUGUAAGAAAUGGCACUAGAAAGAGCUACACAUCUGCAUAAAAACUGCACAUUGCUGAAUGUAAUGGUUUAACUUGUAUGGUAUAAUAAUCAGUGGUAAAUCAAAUGAUUUUUAGCGAGUAACCAGGGUUUAAUUAUUAGCAAGAUAAUAUAAAGUGGACAACUGUGCACAAGAAUCCCUUUAUAAAGUCCAUCUGAGACUCACUUUGUGUUCUUAAUCACAUUACCUACAUUAUCUCUUAUUUGUGCAUGAAACCCUUUAAUCUUUAUUUUGGAGCAUACAUAUUGAAUCUUAAUCUAAAACCAAUGGAACCCAGAGAACAGCAGUAAAAGCAAGUGAAGUGGUCUGUUUCUCUUGCCUCUUGAAAACUUUUCACUUUGUCGGAGAAAUUUGGGCCAUUAAGGGCCGAUUUUCUCAAAUGACUGAUAGUAAUGAAGACAGAAAUUGGCAUCUUGCUCAAGGGUGUUUGACAGAUGCUUGUGCUAGCGAGCGAGGCUUUGAACACAUUUGCUCUCAUUUAAGGACAGUCUCGCUCCUCGCUGAACUUACUGCCCUUGUAAAGAAAAGGCCUGUCAAUGAACAAGACAAAUGUAAAGCUUUGUUUUUCUAUUGACGGUUGGAUUUUCUUUUUGUAUUUCUCGGGUUGAUGUUUUCAAAAAGAGCUAAAUUGCAGCUAAUUUCAGAGCCUAAGUGACAGCGUGAGCAAAGGCCAUCUGAAUUUCACAAAAACACCCCAUAUGGUGUGUGCGGAAGCAAACGGGGAGAUGUAAUUCACCAAAUUGCCAUGGCAUUUUUUUCAGUAGCUUUUUCCCCCCCAAUUGCUUUCAGACGUUUCAACUAAGCUCGCCUGCUAUUUUUCUCAGCCAGGCCGAACUUGCAAUGUGUCUUUGUGAAGGGUUCACCAAAAACGACUGCAUAAUGUUAGCUGUGAGCAUUCAAGCUGCAUUUGCCAGGAAGAAAUGUUGGUCAUGAAAUCAAACUAUUCAAUGUAUUGUGCUAAAAUGGUGGUGGGUUUUAGAAUACCUCUGUUGGGUUGGGAUGCUGGAAUCUUUUCAUGCCUAAAAACAUGCCAAAAUGGUGAAAAUUUAUAACAAACUUCUUGAAGGUUUGUAUUGAUUUAACCAAGAUCAUAAAUAUUUCAUUAUUUCAAGAAAUACAUUGAUUCCUUAAUGAGGUGUGCCUCAGGGAUCAACAUCAGGUCCACCUCUUUUUUCCUAUUUUUGUUUAUAAUUUACCUGUAGUGUUUAGUUUCAACUCUAUGCUGAUAACACUGUCCGAUAAAUAUCCAAAUCUGAUUUGUCAGGAAUUUAACAACUCCUCUAGACUGGAGGAAGAUGUCCUAUCUAGUAACAGUUGGUGCCCAAGAGAAAGCCUAAUCCAAUCUCAGACCCAUUGCUAUUACAUGCUAUUGUGGCACUCCUCUGCAUAGAUUUGAAAUGUUUAAUAUCAUGGUGUUUGGAUUGAUUUAGGAUUAUCCUUUAAACCUUUUUUGAUAACAUUUUUUGAUUUACCUGAACAACUUGGUCCCAUUAGAGCAAUCCCAAAAGACAAGCCUACCUGGUAGCUUUGUCAGACAACAAGCCGACAAGCAAGCAUUUUUUUUUUUAACUUCCAAAAAAUCACCACAUCUGAAAAUCAUAAGGAAUUAUCUUUUUGAGAUAACAGCAUAGUCCAAUCUUAACUUUUCCCAUCUUAAAUUAUGGGAAUUUUGUAAACAAAGGCCAGUAGGAGCUGAAUUUGCAUCUUAACUGUCACCUCGUAUUGAAUCAUGUUCUUGGACCUUGAAUGAAGGCUACCUACCACUAGCAAAAUGUAACAAUAUGAUAGCCAAUGCAACAAUAGCUUACAUAGGCUAGCGUGGUUAAAUGGAGGGUGAGUAGUCAGACAUCAUCAGUAAAGGACUAAUUAAUUUUUUCGGUGUUUUGCAACUACAAAACUGUGUUAAGUCCCACUUUACAGAGAGAUGCUGAAUAAUGCUUAAACGACAGUCUUCAGAGGCAUCAGUAUAGGUAAAAUCUGUAAAAUAUGUCUUCUUUGAGGUUCAGUGAACUCACAUAACUAUCUCCAUCGUAAGAAGUCACAUGCACUGGGCUCAGAUUCUUUCUGAAUGUUUUAUUUCAGUUUAUUCAACACAGUAUUUUGCACCCGUUUCCAGGAAUUAUCACACAAAGGUAGAGCUUAAAAGGGCAAAACCUGCUUUCAUGUCAGGCUGCACUGUUCUGCAGGACAUACUUUAUAAAGUGCAAAGACAUUUCAUGAUGAAAAUGACAACCACUGUCUAUCACCCAAAGACAUGUUUAUGCAACAUAGUUGCUGCCGUUCAGUUUUGAUGUGAAGCUUUUUGGUACGAUUGGAUGCUCAAAUGCUAAUGUGGCCAGAAGGUGCGUGGGCUGGGCCUACACAGCCAUCAUGUGCUUAAUUUUAAAACUAGACAUGGCAGAUUGACUUGGGUCAAGGGCAGAUCUAAAGUACCUUUGCUGAACCAGCUCUGUUUUCACUCCAGGCCCAAACACACACUCUCAUAUCCACACAGACACUCUCAGGCACAUGUGUGAGAACCGGCGUGCAUGCUGCUCAAACUCAGGUUGCACACACGGCAUCCCAAUAACCGCCCGCCCUGCUGUGAGCUGGGCUCUGUCGGGGAGUUCUGUCACUUCGGUGUUGAAGUGUUGCUGCAGGAAACAUAAAAGUGGAAUCAACACUCUUCUCACGGUAAAUGUGACAGAUCUGUGCACGAACACACUGGUGCAGGCGAACACGGGAAAGCUCACACUCAGCCGUACGAGAGAUAUGACACAUUAUUAAACCCUCGCAGUGGUGUACUGAUCCCUGCCGUCAUCUACAGCUUGUAUUGUUCCAGUUUCUACUUCUGUGGCUCAGUGUACUGGUUGGCUUGGGGGGUUUGCAUAUGUUAAACGACUAUCUCUUCUAUAUGUAAAUUUAGCUGCGCUUACAUACCGUGUAAAUGUAUUCAAAUAUCCAGUCAGAGGUUGAGAAUAAAGUCCUUGAUAUCAAAUGUUUAAUAUAUCCUGGGGUAAGAGUUGCAUGAUCACAUAUUGUAUCACGCAGAGUCAUGUACACAUCGACUACAUUAUGUGACACAGUGAACAUAAUUUACAUGUUAAACAGAGUUCAGGACAGGACAAGAUAAGAAAUAUACCCCUCACAGUUGAAACUCUGAUGUUGAUUCCAAAAUUGCUAAACCUGCUUUAUUUCUCCUCUAGAUCUCAGUCUUGUUAUUUAGGUCAGUCCGACCUGACCAGAUGUGAUCACCAUUAGACCAAUUCACCCUCGACAGGUGGAGAAGGUCUUCAAUUCCUCUGCUGUGUCCCUGAAUUUUCUGAGUUGGAGGAAUUUUCUCAAUCUAUGCCGAUCAGUAUUUCAACAGCGCAGCGAAAACAUCACUCCUGCGUGCCGUGGAUAAAUCUGAGGCCACAUGAAAACAAAUUUUGGACUUAAUCCACAGGAGUGCAUGCAGGCCUAAAUCGGCAUUUUGGUAAAACGAUUUAUUCAUUCAUUCAUUUUUUGGCCUUGGUACUUGUGAAGUGAAAAGCUAAUAUCAUGACAGGCUCUAUCUCUUCUAACCAGCCACAUCUGGUUCUGCAGGUAGCGACUGUGGCGCAAUUAUAUCCUUGUCUCACACUUAAAUAUCACCCCAUUUUUCCUCAUAUCUACACAUCACAGCCAUUGGACUUCAUUAUUCCAUUACAAAGGAGCUUUGUUACUUGUUAGGUACUUACAUAUUGAGCCGAACACAAGGGGUAAACAGUGUGCAAGACGACACAAUCAAUAUGUAAUGACUGUAAAAAUCUCUAAUGGUAGAUAACACAACAUUUAGUGUGACUAUUUUCAAUUCAUCUGUUUACCAUCAAUCAAAUACAGUCGAGGUAAUAAAGCCACUUCUUUAGGACCCUGUGAGUCAUUUAGAUGUAUUAGUAAUUCUGCAAUUUAUUCAAUAAGCUCCGAGCACAAUGAACUGCAACGCUAUAAAUCUCUGCAUAUUUACUGUCUGCAGUCGUACAUAUGGCAAUGAAAUGCUGAUGAAACACAAACGACCUCAUUAGUUUUAAAAAUCAAUUAAAAUACAAACAGACGGAGAAAGUGGAAAUUCAGACAUGUGUCAAGUUAAAAGCUACACCUAGAGGAGAAUAAAUAUGAACAGGAACGCAGAUAUGCAGAAGCAAAUCUAGAUUAUAGUCCACUAUGUUUAGAAUUGGAAAUGGACACUAAAUAGAGGCAUCUGUGGUUAGUCAUAAAGCAAGAGGGAACGUGCAGAUAGUAAAAAGUGUGGGGUCCAAGUACAGAACCUUGAGGUACACCUCGGCUAUGUAUUUUAAUGAAAACAGCAUGUCUUUAAAAGCAGGGGUGAAAUGAAAGGCUAAUGUCUUCUACUUACUGAUAACCUUAACCCUCAGAACUCCCAGCUAUAUUUUGCUAUUUUUUGUUCGCCUUUUUUGUAAAAAUCUAUGUUGCAACUCUGUCUUUUUAAGCAUAGCAAAUAGCAAAAACCUCAGCUGUCAGUUUAUGGGUGCAAAGUUAUGUAAAAUGAAUGUGACAGUAGAUUCAGAAUCAUAAAAGUCAACCAAAAAACAAAAAUGGAAAUUGAUACCAACAGUACUUUGCUCAAAAAUCUACAGUGACCAAGCCUUUUCUCACCGUCACAUCAUUCUCUCAAGUCUUGGCUAUCAGGAGAAGAAAUAUUGGGAUUGGAACAAACACACAACAGGAACUAUUUACAUAUUUACACUAAUUCUUACAGGUGUUUUUUUUGCUAUUUCCAGUUGUUUAUGUCACUCCUUGAAGUAGUUCCUGUCUGGGAUGAGACAGAGGGUCACAUCAUACUGCUCAUAAUCUCUUUUUUGCUCGUUUCCAAGCAUUGAGGACCAUUAUUUCUCACUUUGUAUACAAGCAGGGAACUUUCUUGUCUCUUGUUGAUCUUUGGUUGCCUCUUAUUGGACACUACCAUCAAGGGAACAAUAGAAGAAGAAUAUGAGACCAUGGCAUUGGUCGCAAAGUUGACAAAAAAAGAUGUCAUCAAAACAGCUUGUCAAACCUGGAAGACAUCAGUGGCAUUUAGCGAUAGCGAUCUUAUUCUAUCACAACAAUAUGAUAAAUAAUCAUGUUUUCACCGGUAUAUCACUGCAGAUUUACCAUCAAAUGUCUUUGAUCAAACACUUAUUUUUGUGGCUAGGUUGUAAACCUUGUGGAAGGUGUAAAAAUGCCUGGAAACCCUCGAUAGAUCGCCAAAAGGGUAAGCUUUUGAACUUUUUAUCCCAUAGAGAUAAACGGUAUAGUUCCUAAGAAACUGUAAACAAUAUUAAUGGUGUCACAUGGGAUCACCGGCGAUCCAGCAGAGUUCUUAAGUGUUAAGUUUGAGGUAUAACUACUAUGUGUCGUACCUUUCAGAGCUGACAGAUAUCCCAAACAGCAGCCUAGUCAGUGAUAAAUACACUUUUAAACACUCGAAGGCACACCGUCAGUCCUUUUCCAAGUCUUUACAAAUCGUUGUGACACCAUCUUCAGGGCACAUGAGUUCACAGGGAGUGAAAAUAGUCUUUAUUCCCAUACACUCGAACAUUUGAUCCACAACACAAGGUCAUCACUGAAUAUUUAAUUGGUUUGUUCAAAAAUAUGUCAAGUUAUUUGCAAUUUUCAAAAUUCUUUCUACGUUAUUUCUGCAAAGUCUAGAGGUAAAAACUGAAAUCGGCGUCCUUGUCGAUAUUUCAAGUUUACUUUGAGGAAUUUCUGCUCUUAUAAUAAUCUCAGCAUUCCUUGUGAUUAUUCACCCUUGAUAAAAACCAUCAAACAUGUUCAGAUCUCGGUCAACAGUGAAUCCCAUGAAGAAAGAAAAAGCUUUAUAUGCUUGCUAGGUGGUGGUCCUGUCAAGGUAUCCUCAAAGCAACAAACUUGGACAGGAUUUUCUCAUGUUUGCACUCAAAGCCAAUUAAACCCCUCUGGAUGGACAUGAAGUCACUCUUGUUCGUGGAUCACAGGGAUACAUAAAAUUGCAUCACUUGGUUAUUUGUUAAAAAGAAGAAAAAGAACAAGUCUGUAAAAAAAACAGUCCACUUGAGGAAUCUCAUGACAUACUUGAAAUGGAGUCUCUUGAAAGUUUGUUAGUUGUCUUGCUUUGCAAAGUCGCAGGAAUCCUUUUGACCCUUUCACAGCAGUGUCUGGUAAACAACAAAUCAGGCAGCACUGCACUUGAGUUUCCAAAAAUGCCACUUAUUUGACUUAAGAACUGAAAAAAGGCAGCCAUGAAAGAAACACUGGCAUAACCAAACCUUUGGUUGCCCUAGAAACAGAGAAAGUGAACCUGUCAGUCAAAACGAGUGGAAAAAAAAGAGCUACAAUAGUUUAUUUUUUAAUCAUACUCAAUAACUACUUGGCCGGUAUAGGUAAAAGGUUUUUUUUCAAACCUGUAUCCUGUCAAUACAAGCGUUAACAUCAGUGACAUUUCCCCGUCCUGCUAUAUUGCGGCAUUUAUUUUUUGGUAUCACGGUCAAAUUUUUUAAAGUUUUGCAUACUGUGUGUCCACCUCUGACCAAUCAGAUUGCAUGUUGUUGCGACGUCAGAUUCACCAGCAUAUCCAACAUGGCCGACCGUCUGAUUGUUUACGUGUCGGAGAACAGAGUGCUUUUUGAUAAAAAACACAAAUAUUACAAAGAUAACGACCUGAAGGACAACUUGUGGAGAGUCAUAGUGUCGGAUUUCUCAUAUGACGAUGGUUUGUGUGCUUGAACAGUUUGCUAAACGUCUUUGUUUUAACUUUCAUCUGUGCUAAGUAACUUUAGCUCGUAAGCUAACCUGUUCAGAUACAACAUACCAUAUGUAUUUUCAUUGUCUCAAACUCAAUCUCGUUGCUGUCACAGCACCAUUAGGUCUUGGUUGUUACCUUACGUUUAUGGAUUAUAGUUUAAUGUGCUUAUCUGGUACUGGCCCCGACUCAGUACAUGCUAUCAUGACAGACAGACAUCUCAACACUAGUGUCUAAUCAGAACUGAAAUACAGUCAGUCUGCUGUUGUGUCAGUCUUUUUGCUUCCACCCAGGACGCGUCUUUUUUCCCUCCGAAAAGUUGCAAAAUUGCAUCGUGCUUGAUGUGUAUAGUAAGGCGCGUCAAAAUUCACCUCUGAAUAUUUUGUAAUUUCAGGUCGUAUAUUUGCAUCGUUCCCUGUGUGUAAGGACCUUUGGCAGAGGAUAAUCUUGAAGUGUUUUCGUGAAGUGUCUUUGUUGUAUUUAUCUGAUAAAUCCAGAAAAAUGUCUUAUUUUAAUUUUCUCAAAAAAUCGGACCUGAAUUUCUUGUAAUAAGAAACUUUUUUGCCCCCUAUGUUUUUGCAAUAAAUUUAAAUAAAGCAAAAUAAUUAAAAGUCUAUUUUGUCAAACAUCUGCCUCCGUUAGUUCUGAAAUUAUAAUUUUCAAUCAAAUUUAGAGAUCUUUAAAUGUCACACAAAUUUAGAAAAAUCUUCAUCUGACUAGUCACGUUGUGAGUUCUGAUUACAUGUCCCUUUCACGUCCUUCCACCCACACAUAAAAAAAAAAAUAGUCCCCAAGUUGUCCGCAGGCCCUGCCAGUCUUGACGAAGAUUAAUCUGCGUUUGCGCUCAUGUGUGUGUGAGUGUCCAAGUUUGUCGAGCCGAGUCAACGCUGUCUGUCUCUGAAAGAACCUCUGGUCCCAUGAGUAACCAAAGUGACACACACAAAAACAUUCACUCAUCACCCCCGCAAACUACACACACACACACAAACACACACAAACACACACACACACUGGCACUGAUAUACUCAAGGCAUGAGUAAACAGGGUUGGAAGGAUCAGGGGACGACCUUGUAUCUAAAACUGAAAGCCUCUCUUCACAAACAAUCUGCGUCCAAAAGUCUUCUUCGUCCUCCAUUACACCAUCAAGUCUUUUUCCGGGCCCCUUGCAGGAGAGUAAACUUUGACUCUCGACUCCCUCCACGCUCCUCUUCCAGCGGGUUCACCACUUAGACAUGUUGCAUAACUCCGCUUUAGUCACCCAAGUGUCUUAAGUCAGAAAUAUUUAACAGCGUAGGUUGUUUUGUUCUUGGGAUGUGGGUGAUAAUGAAUUGAUGACUGCGACUCGGCUCCCUGAGACUGACGGCGCCUUAAUUUACUGGUUCCUUCUCCAUCAGUUGAUGACAAAGACUGAGCUGAGUCACCGCUGCCUCCUUUGCCAGAAUUUGUAAUUUAGUCAAUGUUUACUGAAGUCAACCUCAUUGAGAUGAAGUGUUUGUUAUCGAACAGGAGAGAAAGCACAUCCUGCUCUUUGAUUCCCCCACAACUCCCACCAGGGGAACCUCAAAGCUGUGUGAAGACUUUUUUCCUGUUACUGUUCACUUUCAUUAUUGUUUCAUAUUUGUGUAAACAUAAUGCUCAGUCAAGCUGGAAGACAUAUGAAGCCUGCAUUGCCCACAUUAAAGGUACAAUAUGUAGAUUUUAGCAGUAUGUAUCCAAAGAAAUGUUAUGAUUAUGCAGAAGCGUGUUGAAAUUAGUUGUAUUAACCCUCUGGGCUCCUUGAAAAAAAGUUACACUUAGGUCCUUAGAUGGACAAAAAUGUCCAUCUCCUAAAAGUGCUAUAAAAUUAUCAUACAUUAAUAUUUUUUCCACCAUUUUUGCUUAAAUAUUUAAUCAACUUCAUUCCGGAUCAUAUCUAUCAAAUAUUAAUUCAUUUUCAGAAUUUUAACCCUUUAAAUGCCAGUUUGACUACAUGAUGUCACUGUUAUUUUUAAUGGGAAAAGCAGAAAUUUGGAGUUAUUUUCCAUAUAUUAGAUGCUGGGCAGGAAUUUAUUUUAUUUUAUUUUAUUUUAUUUAUUUGGCAGCCUAUGGUAUGCCAAUAAUUAACAACAACAUUAAUUAUGAUGAAUUGUUAUGUUUGAUGUAUUUCUCUUGAACAGUUGAACUAAGAGAUUUAUUCAGAUAGACCUAAGUGUAAUUUUUUUAGAAAUCGGACAAGACAUCAAACAUAAUAAUGUAUCAAAAUUUAUGUUGUUGUUAAUAACUGGCACAUCAUAGACAUUGAUAGAAAAAUCAUUUAAAAAAAAUAAAUUCCUGCCCAAAAAUGGGUGGUCAGGUUUGAAAAUUUGGAAAGAAAAAAAUCGUCCUGUUUGUAUCAACACAGCCAAAAUGAUCAACAAAAGAAAGGAAAAAAGUCACCAAAAAUGGACAAAAAUGUCCUAAGAGCCCCUGAGGGUUAAAUAUUGAUUGAAGUCAAUGGCAGGUAGUAGAAACCAUUAUUUCAUUGGCAACCUAUUGCAUGCAAAUGUUGAGUUAAGAUGCUUGACUGCCACAUCAUCAUACUAUCUCAACAUAGUUUAAAUUUCACAUAUUAGGUGUUGGUUAAAACAAUAACCCGAUCACAUUUCACACAAAGAAACUCUAUAAUCCAUUAACAGUUACAUGUAAUCAUUGCAUUACCUAUUACAUUUUUAAACGCAAUUAUCAACCACUUUUUUUUGCACAUUUAACUCAACUGUUGAGAUUACAAGUGGCUUGUAUUUGAGUAGUUGAAUCUAGUUUGAGUUCACUCUCGCCUGAAGAAUCUAAAAUAAAUCAAAUUAAUUCAAACUGUAAAAUAUACAUACAUCAAGACCUCUUCUUCUGUGACCCUAAACUUUCUCAUUAUGACCUCUGUUAUUUCUCGGCUCUUGGUGGGAGUAACUCUGAGUAUGGCGUGGAUCCAUUUGUCCAAAACACAAGUUCGCAAUUUUUCUUUCCGCACACACAUCUGCUCAAUUUCAAGGCGAGCAUGUUUAUGUUGGCGUGGAAAGGCUUAUGGCGAACCUCUGAUCCAAACCGGCCAAAUCUUGUAACCACCAACAGCAGCUGCGUCAAACCGAAAUAGCCAAAAUCUCUAGAGCAUCUAGAAUAGCUAAGCUUAGGCGGAAAAAGACACAAGUGGAGAUACGAUGGAUAACAGUUGUGAUAUGUUCAAACCAUCCUUUGGCUUUGCACGCAGGAAAGUCUUUUGUUUGGAAAUAUCACCAGUCUACUGAGUCUGUCCAACCUUAUACCACUUUUUCAACACAACUUCCUCAGUUUGUGUUCGUCACUCAUCUCGUUGUCUCUUCCUCUCAUCUCGACUUUUGCCUUUAUGCUUUUCGCUCGCCAGAAAUCCUGCUGAGAACUGGUCCUCUGAUCAUUUCGCUUCUUGUGUUUUCACACAAAGUUGACAAAACUUUUGGAUUAACUCAAGUUAUCAUGUGGCGCUGACUCAAUAUAGUCUUUUCUUUCCUGCAAUAAAAUGUCUCAAAUACAGACAUCCAUGUUGGUUUUUGCCAAAUUAAAGUUUGGCGGGACUUGAACGAGGUAGAUACUUGUCCUUGUCCCUGUAAUUGGCAUUGGCUGCCUCUUCUUCUCUACUCGUUAUACUCUGUACUUGAUUGGUAAGUGGAUACAGGUGAACUCAAUCAUUACCAGGUGCACAAAGCAGCACUUGAAGAAACAGAAGAGGGAGAGGAAAAAAGCAGAGAACCACAGCAAACACAAACAGUACCACAACAUGAGACAGUUGACUAUUUGAAGCUCUGCAUAAAAGCAAGUUGUUUGAUUUGAGACACUCGGGCACUUUUUGUUUUUUUAAAACUAAAACACCUUUAUUAUUCGUUUUUGCCAUGUUGCUGGCAUCGCUUUAAAAUGAGCUCAUUUGAUAUGCUUUUUUGCAGUAUUUUCGGGCUUAAAUAAGGUGACCAUAUUCUGAAUCCUCAAAAAGAUGACACAACAACUUGGGGGCUGAGUCACAGAGUUGUGCAUAGUUAAUUUUGAGAGUGUUUCGCUUCAGAUUGAGUGUGUUGUACACGCUUCUUACUAGGGCCCAACUGAUAUGGACGUUUUGGGGCCGAUGCUGACACCAAUUAUUAGGGGGGCAAAAGAUCCGAUUACCAAUUAGUUGGCCGAUUUUUAAUUUUUUUAUGAACUUAUGAAAAAUAUAUAUGCACUGUAGAUACUGUAUAGUGCUCUUCCUGCCGACAGGAAGACCAACUCAUGAAACUUGGACCAGAAAAGCAUUUUCAAUUAUAAUCCCACCCCAGCCGAUCGGUACCCCCACGUUUUAACUCUCGUUACUUAUUUCCGGUCCGGUCUCAUCUGGAGACAUGCAGCUGCCUCAGUAAGAGAAGUAGCUCGAUCACGUAAUGUGUACUUUUGUUUAUUCUACAGUUACUGGCACGGCUAACGGUGUAGCAAGGCUAAUAGCAGAUGGCUAACUCUAACUUUAGCUUGCAUAUUACAUGGUGAUUCACCGUUAACUCGGCGUGACUGAGACCAGCACAGCGGGGAACAUCGUGAAGUGGGUUGAACUGAAACUUGUUGACUUAUUGUGUAUUUCACAAACUGGUUUAUUUACCGUUGAGGUGGACCACUCUCCUCCGUGCGUCCCUGAGCUGCCUGCUUCAGAUCUGUCACUCUGCUGUGCUGUGAGGUAGUUAGUGGAUGAAGAUUGUCAUGAGGUCACUGCGCCAUCUACAGGAUAAGUCAGGGAACUUUUCAAAUGGCGGAUCAUUUU